rnacentral:rRNA from 1 species
GAUGAACGCUGGCGGCGUGCUUAACACAUGCAAGUCGAACGGAAAGGCCCAAGCUUGCUUGGGUACUCGAGUGGCGAACGGGUGAGUAACACGUGGGUGAUCUGCCCUGCACUUCGGGAUAAUCCUUGGAAACUUGGUCUACUACCGGAUAGGACCACUUCGUAGUCGUUGUGGUGGACAGUUUUUCCGGUGUGGGAUGAGCUCGCGGACUAUCAGCGUGUUGGUGGGGUAAUUGCCUACCAAGCCGUCCACGGGUCGCCGGCCUGAGAGGGUGUACGGCCACAUUGGGACUGAGAGCCGGAAAAGACUACUACGGGAGGCAGGAGCAGGGAAGAUUGCACAAUGGGGGGAAGACGGAGGAAGCGACGGGGCGUGGGAGAUGACGGACUUCGGGUUGUAGACUCCUUGCGACAAAGACGAAUUUAGGACGGUAUUUGGAGAAGAAGCACCGGCUAACUACGUG